rnacentral:rRNA from 1 species
AGGACGACCAGUCACACUGGAACUGAGACACUGCCCAGACACCUACGGGUGGCUGCAGUCGAGAAUCUUCGGCAAUGGGCGAAAGCCUGACCGAGCGAUGCCACGUGCGGGAUGAAGGCCCUCGGGUUGUAAACCGCUGUCGUAGGGGAGGAAGGUUCCGUGAAGAGCGGAACUUGACCUAGCCUAGGAGGAAGUACGGGCUAAGUUCGUGCCAGCAGCCGCGGUAACACGAACCGUACGAACGUUAUUCGGAAUUACUGGGCUUAAAGGGUUUGUAGGCGGCCUUAUAAGUCAGGUGUGAAAGCCCUCGGCUCAACCGAGGAAUAGCGCUUGAUACUGUAAGGCUUGAGGGAGACAGGGGUAAGCGGAACUGAUGGUGGAGCGGUGAAAUGCGUUGAUAUCAUCAGGAACACCGGUGGCGAAAGCGGCUUACUGGGUCUCUUCUGACGCUGAGGAACGAAAGCUAGGGUAGCGAACGGGAUUAGAUACCCCGGUAGUCCUAGCUGUAAACGAUGAGCACUUAUCUGGGGAUCCUCCCAUAGGUUCCCGGAUGUAGCGAAAGUGUUAAGUGCUCCGCCUGGGGAGUAUGGUCGCAAGGCUGAAACUCAAAGAAAUUGACGGGGGCUCACACAAGCGGUGGAGGAUGUGGCUUAAUUCGAGGCUACGCGAAGAACCUUAUCCAGGCCUUGACAUGUACGGAUUAACCCGGUGAAAGCCGGGCCACGCCUUCGGGUGGAACGUGCACAGGUGCUGCAUGGCUGUCGUCAGCUCGUGUCGUGAGAUGUCGGGUUAAGUCCCUUAACGAGCGAAACCCUUGUCUCUAGUUGCCAGCGAGUAAUGUCGGGGACUCUAGAGAGACUGCCGGUGUUAAACCGGAGGAAGGCGGGGAUGACGUCAAGUCCUCAUGGCCUUUAUGGCCUGGGCUGCACACGUCCUACAAUGGUAUCUACAAAGGGAAGCAAGCUCGCGAGAGUAAGCAAAUCCCAUAAAGGAUGCCCCAGUUCGGAUUGCAGGCUGCAACUCGCCUGCAUGAAGCCGGAAUCGCUAGUAAUCGCGGGUCAGCAUACCGCGGUGAAUGUGUUCCUGAGCCUUGUACAUACCGCCCGUCAAGCCACGAAAGUGGGGGGGGCUUAAAGCCGCCGUGCCAACCCGCAAGGGAAGCAGGCGUCUAGAGUCAACUCCGUGAUUGGGACUAAGUCGUAACAAGGUA